UUCCUUUUCUUGAGAAUGUACCGUGGAUAGAAGUGCUGUCUAUCACUCUUCCUAAUGGGCUAUUCAUAAAUGUGCCCCUCUGGUCAAUCAGCUUAUUUUGUCUGUUCUGUGGCUUUAUGGAGGCUUUGUUUGCUCACCUGUAGCAGAUGUAUUUGGACUCCAGAUGUUUUAAAGGAUCUUUCCAGGUCCAUUGAGUCCUUGCUCCCUUUUGUUAUUGUGGCCAGGGAGGCAGCUGGUGACUGAUUGAUCCCCUUUCCCUCUGGAGCUUCAACUGGGACUGUCCUGAAGAUUGGCCACCAUCAUGCCCAUCAGGGAAGAGGCCUGAGGUGAGUCGUGCGGCUCCCGCUGCACCCACCAGCUGAGGUAUGACAUCCUGCCUGCUCUCCUUUGGUGGUUUUUUGAGUUAGAAGAAUGUUCCUUCCCUUCGUGGAAUGUCCGUGGGGGAAUAGAAGCCUCAGGGUGUUACAGAGGUCAUGAUGACUUCAGUUUACUCCACACUCUGCCCGUCUCUCUAGAUGUACAAUACCAUGGAUCUGAGUUGGGGUAUGUUCCAGAGAAAAGCAAUAUUGAUGGCCCCUCAUAAAAGAUGUGACAUGAAAUGGUUAAUAUGAAUAGAAGAAUCCUGACUUGUCUGAAAUAUACAUUUCCAGGGAGGAAAUGCAGAACCCGUUGAGUAUCAUUUGUACAUUUAUGCUUGUUUUUAAAUCCCAGGGACUGUAAAUACUGGCAUCCUGGAAUUUCCAGGAGUCAUAGUCUAGACUGGAGAUAAGACACUCUGGUCUCUCUGAGCCAGUCUUCCUCCCUUCUAUCCACACUAGGGGAGGAACUCGUUUUACAGCCCUGAGGUGUCUGGGGACAUUAUUCUGCCUAUGGUAAAGAAGCAUUCCUUAGAUGAAAGAAAAAAAGAUGACUAUUUCAGAUGAAGAAUCAGGGAUGUGUCUGAAAAUUUCUGGCAUAGAUGGAGGAAGAAUCCCAAUAUGUUUUUGUGGUUAUACAGCCAAAAAUUAUGUUAACUACAUGACUGAUGUGACUUGACUGGGAAAAGGCAACCUGAGAGUAUUUUAAGAUUCCUUGGUUAUGUAAUUAUAUAUCCAGAAGGUACCAUAUCCAGCAGAGUGAUAGAUUAAAAAUUAUAAUCAGUGUUCUUAAGCACAUAAUUAGCAUAUUGAACAUUGACAGUUCAGACCUCAAUUAAGUACAUAGCCUGCUAACAGAGGGAGUUCUGAUUUUAGAGUUACAUUGGAGCCUUGCUCCCAGUGGGGGAAAUUUUUAACAAAUCACGUAAAGUUUCUCUUCCACAUCUCUUGUAGCAAUAAAUCAAAACUACCCUUUCUUAAUAUGAUUCCUUAUGUUGCCCUGAUGUCUGGGUAGGGGAUUGAGGGUGGGGAGUGUAGAGAGGAAUUUGGUGGUUCUGUCAAAGGUAAAUUGAAUAUGUUCAUCAUUACAAUUUCCUUCUGUAUCUGAAAUAAUUUCAUACGUGACUUUUUGGAACUUUAUGAGUAGCCUUUAAAAUACUUAGGCUGCUUUCUUCUAGCACUGAAACCAGGAAUCAUUUUUUGAAUGUCAUGAUCUAGUUAGAAGUAAUUUUGCCUUAUAGCCAAGGGUAAUCUCAUCACUGAGUAAUGCUUCUAUUUAUAUAAGUCUGUCUCUCAGAGCCUGUUCGUAUCUUGAAGAAAUCCCCAAUGCAGGAGGCAGGAUACAAAAUUGAAUACCAUCAUGUAAUAUCCCCAAAGGGACUUGUUUAGUGUUUUCUUAUCCAGUUACCCAUGGCUACAGGGAAAGAUUUUUCAAAAUUCAAUACAAAUUGUGUUAGCUUGUUUUUCUUCUUGACACCCUUAAGUCCUCUUUGAUCACGGUAGAUUUUAAAGGAAAGAAAAAAAAUUCCUUUAGAUCUCUCAAUGUCAAGGGGCACUCAGACAGUUAUUCCAUUGCCCUUCUACAGAGCUGCUAAUUGUUUAGAAGGACAGAGAUAUCUCGGAGUAAGCAUUCUGGGACCUCAGCAAAAGCUGUUUGCUCUGCUCAGUGUCAGGAGGGUCUUGGGCAUUAGCCAAGGGGCUUUAAUUAUUGAAGGAUUUUAUUAUGAGGUUGUUUUAUCUAAAAGACAAAUUCCAUUUGUCAUAUCACCAGUCAAGUAUCAAUUCAUCAUCAGGUACUUAAUUAUUGAUAAAGUAUUAUGUUUUGUGUACUUUCACCUAUUUUGUAAAACAACAUUCGUCAAAAGCUUGGCUUUCACUGUGUUGACAAACUCUAGUCACUCCAUAAGGAGCCAGACAUUCCAGAAUUUGAAGGAAAGGGCAGAAAAUGGCAACCUUAUGGUUCAUUGGGCUAUGGAAUUCCGCAAAUCUCACUGCAGUCUUUAAAAUGCAGUUAAUAUGAAAGAAUAUGUGCUCUAAUUUGUUUUACUUUCCCUGAAGUAGUUUUAUAAGAGAAGGGAUUAGUCUCUAUGCUGUUUAGAAAAAGAAGGCCAAAAAAAGUGGGUAGUGCUAGUGUUUAUCUGGCUGAGGCCUCCUUGCCUUUAGUACACCUAGAGAGGUCAGCCUCUUAAUGAAGCAGAUAUCAUCUCCCCAAAUGCAGCAGCCUGAGGGACAUUUGUCAUAGACCAUCUAGUUCCCCUGGCUGUGAUUGUGUUCACCACACAAAUGUGUGAAUGUAAAUUUCUCUUCUCAAGGACAGGGGAACCACGGUGUGUCAGGAUCUGCCAAAAUUAGUGACCCCUCCCAUGCCUUCCUUAGAACAUAUUCUGAUUCUUUAAAUUUCCAUAAGGAGAAUAUUUCAGGAUGUAAGGAAACAUAAAUUGAUUGAAGGAUUGUAUAGGCUCUUUUAUUCUCUUUCAAAUGCAAUGCCCCAAUUUAUAAUGCCCACAGUGCUUUCAACCCUGUGGCUAAAGGUCGUCCCAGUGUCCCAGGUGUCUGAAGCUCUGAACUAGCCCGGUCCACUUUUGUUUGUAGGUAGACAUAGAUCGACAUCCAGAGCCAGCAGCUAAGCCUUUGUAGGGAUUUCUGAGCUAAAACUACAGAAGAAGGAGGAGGAAUCCUGAUGCUUUUCCAAACCUUUCUCUGAAUAAGUGGUUGCUGUCUACCCAUACCUUACUUCUAUUAGUCACCCCCCAUUGCAAGGUUGCAGUUGACCCCAUCCAGAGUCCAUUUGAAUUUGAACCAAGUGGCAAUGGCAAAUCUUCUCCAAACUAUUACACAGAUAAGGAUUUUUAAACAAAGGCAAUUCAGGUAGAAAAUAUGUUACUCAUCUUUCUUCUGCUAGGAGAAUACAUUCCUUUUUGAUGUUGGAUAUAUUGCGUUAUAGACUGUACAUUGUGUCCCCCACCCUGUUGAAGCUUUAACCCCCAUUGUGAUGGUAUUUGGAGAAAGGACUUUGAGAAAUAAUUAGGGUUAGAUUAGGUCAUGAGGGUGGGGCCCUUGUGAGUGGUUUUGUAAGAGGAGGAAGAGAGACUUCUCCCUCUCCAAGUGCAGGCAGCAAAGAAAGGCCACGUGGGAACACAAUGAGAAGGUGGCCACCUGCAAGCCAGCAAGACAGUCCUCAUAGAACCCAACCGUGCUGAAACCUUGAUCUUGGACUUCCAGCCUCUAGAGCUGUGAGAAAAUAAAAAUUUCUAUUGUUUAAGCCA